rnacentral:lncRNA from 1 species
CCCUGGGAUAGUGCCCGGCAUUGGGCUCUCUGCUCGGCGGGCAGCCUGCUUCCCUUCCUCUCUCUCUCUGCCUGCCUCUCUGCCUACUUGUGAUCUCUGUCUGUCAAAUAAAUAAUUUUUUUUUUUUAAAGGGACUUUAGCUCAAUGUCUAGGAAGACCUGCUGAAGGGUUGGAUCAGUACUUCCCAGAGCUUCCACCCCUCUACUCCUUUCCCUUCAGCAUUUGCAUGUUUGGUGGUGGGGGGGGGGGUGGGGUGGGGGGGAGACAAGCGUUGGGCCUUCCAGCUGGAAGAAGCCAGUCAUUGCUGGGAGCCAGGUGCCUAACCCUCUCCCUUCUGACUCCUUUUCUUUUUUCAUCUCAGCCUCUGACUUCAGUCACAGAGACCUCCUGCGAGGUCUGCCAAACCCACCAGUUCCUUCCACAGGGACUGUCCCCCCGCACUGUCUCCUCUUCAUCAAGCAAAACCUUGCCAUCAGAUUUCUGCUACAAGACCCUCUCUCUUUGGGGCACCUGGGUGGCUCAGUGGGUUAAGCCUCUGCCUUCGGCUCAGGUCAUGGUCCCAGGGUCCUGGGAUCGAGUCCCGCAUUGGCUCUCUGCUCAGCAGGGAGCCUGCUUCCCCCUCUCUCUCUGCCUGCCUCUCUGCCUACUUGUGAUCUCUGUCUGUCAAAUAAAUAAAUAA